GGUUCGCAAAGUAGCCAGGGCAGAGUGACAUUCGAUAACUUUCAGUUCAAGCUGUUUUUGACAUUACUUUUUGACCGCGUUCUUCUCCCAUGCUCCCAUGCUCACAUACACACACACACACACACACACACACACACACACACACUCACACCCAUACACAAUCAUACGAUACAGUCAUCUGCGAAAUUCUUGUU